UACGGAGGUGGCAAGCGUUGCUCGGAAUCACUGGGCGUAAAGGGCGCGUAGGCGGGCAGGUAAGUCGGGUGUGAAAUCCCUCGGCUUAACCGAGGACGUGCAUUCGAAACUGAUGGCCUUGAGUACGAAAGAGGAUCGCGGAAUUCCCGGUGUAGAGGUGAAAUUCGUAGAUAUCGGGAGGAACACCAGUGGCGAAGGCGGCGAUCUGGGUCGAUACUGACGCUGAGGUGCGAAAGCGUGGGGAGCAAACAGG
rnacentral:rRNA from 1 species